CCCCGCACUCCCCUUGUUCCCCUCCCUCCUUCUUCCUCUCCUCGUCUUUCCUCCUCGCUCACCGGGGACCGUCCUAGCUGUAGGCAGCUGCUCUCUUGUCUCUCUGUCUUCUGGAGGGAUCGCCCCCACGGCUCAGGAGCACUCAGCUGUUUUGCCACGACCGCAGUGGGUUUGCUUUUCUCUCGGCUCUGCGACGCUCAGACUCGACACGGAGCCGCAUGCGUCCGCCAGAAGGAGGGAAGGAAAGGGAAAUCUGUCCGAAUGCAAUGAAGCAGCUUCCCUGUGGAUUACACAGCAGCUGGUGUUGAUGGUUUGGAGAGGUUGAGUGGAAACAGGCCAGAGACAGAGACAGACACAGAGACAGACACGAGUGCAUCAGGGUCAUCAGCAGAAAAACACCGAUCAGCUGCUCGAUCACCGCGGGAAUCGACCCGAAACGCUUCUGUAUCCACACAUGCAGAUGUUCCCAGGGAGGAGGACAAACGGGAGGGAGGACAAACCGAAUGACGGGGACCGACGCUCACGGGUUUUAGCUCCGGGAUGCUAGCACACACGGCCCCGGUGCGUUAUCCUUGAGAGAAAUGUCCCCGCUGGCUCCAGCAUGUCCCCGGAAGAAUAUAAUAAAGUGUUUACUCUGAAUUCAUCACGGAGGAAAAGACUGAGACACGUCGGUUCAGAGAGGAGGAGGCAGCAGGCGGAGGAGGAGGAGGAGGAGGAGGAGAGAGGAGGGCUAGCUCCCGUUAGCCUCGCAGAGCUAUUAGCACAGACAGCUACACCCAGCGAUGAUCACGGUUUAUUUGUCAGCUCCUGCCUGCAUCCAUCGCCGCUCCGCUCCGGAGACGCGUCCUCUGGCUCCGGCUCCCCGGAGCAAAUCCUCCCCGCAGGUACACGACGACAUCACAGUGAACAGCGCUG